CUUUCCGCUGGUUACUGCGUGAGUCCAAGGUCAGUAGAGUGAGAGCACCCGCAAGGGGGGACGUGUAUCGGACCACUUCAAACACCAACGUAUUUAAUUCAUAUUUAUUUGAAAUAAAUGAAAGCCGUUAACGGACGAAAGAUGAGAAAGGCUAAAACGUGCAAGAAAAGGUGCUUGUGGAGUGAGGAAGCCAUGCGUAGCGCUAUUGAGGCAUGCAUGGAAGGGAUGAUGGUGAGGGAGGCAGUCAGGCUCUACCAGGUAGAAAACUUUGUGAAUGCGCUUUCACGUUUACUGCAUAUUUUAAUUGUAUUUUGGUGUGUAAAAUAUUUCAAGAAGUUUUUAAGAUCUUCCACCAGCGUCACCGUGUGGAGCUCACUAUGAGGACACCGAAUAUCACUGAUAGAGUAACAGAGACACAGCCCUUGCCGUCCUCCUCUGGUGAACCAGCGCUUGCCAGGCCCAUGACACCACCCACAGACAGCACAUCGUUAAAUUGGGGGGAAAGCCUCAGCCGAUGCUGUGGCUGCGGCAAGGCUGAGCCCCCUGACGAAGAUGACAUGGUGGUGUCAUGGGUUGCCUGUAAAUCCUGCGAGCGCUGGUUCCACUCAAAAUGUGUUUUUUUAUGAAAAAAUUCAUAUGUACAGUUAUUUAUACAUUUUUAGCAUUUGUAUAUUUUUACAUGUAAAUACAUUUAAAUUUUUUAUUUUAAAUACAUUUUUAUCUUAUUUCACUUAGAAAAUGUAAUUAACCUAAAUUACAGAUAUCAGGCAGUAAAGUAGACAUUAUAUUGCCAAGAGUCAAGAAGGCCAUGAUGUAAUUCCUGUACAGCAGGCCAUGCUUGGUUCUUUACCAUAAUGUGUUUUGUAUCAUUGUACUUUGUAUCAUUAUCUUGAUGUUGUAGCUUGUAAUUUCCCCUAGUUUGACUUAGCAUAGGUUUGGUCAGCGUAAUGUUUACUGUGUGAACUGGACUUAAUGUGCUCAUGCCUAUGAAUAACUUACAAAAUGAGUAUUGUACCUUAUCAGACCUGUGUUUUGUAGUUGUUCCAGUGACCUUCGGUAUGCACUUAUUGUAUGUCGCUUUGGAUAAAAGCGUCUGCCAAAAUAAAUGUAAUGUAAUGUG